UAAUGUCGUUUUUAACCGGUUAAUGUCGACAUGGUCAUUAUUCAACAGUGUAUUCAACAGCGUUUCAUAAAUCUGGAUAUAUUAAAAUAAUAUUUAUGUGAAAUGUAUCCAAUGCUUUAUUUUUAACAGUUUAAAAGAGAGUGAACCUUUUGGAAACCAGGGAGUGCAUCUUCACAGCGCCGUAGCCAAGCAGACACUCGUGGUGGCACAAUAUCGGGCAUCACACACUGUAGAGAUUUAAGCCGUCAAACAGAUUUCCGACUUGAAACAAUAGCAAAAGACAACUGACUUCGGAACUCACCUCAGCACUGAGGGCCGAUGAUGAACAAUGGCAGUCUGCAAUUGUGGGCCAGCUAAGAGCUAUGAAUUGGCUGUCACCUAAGAGUUUGUCAAGGUCUUGUAAGGCUUCUUUCAAGCUAAUUACAUGGUUGGGAUUGGGUUGUUUGCCAAACAAAACAGGAACCUGUAGUGCAAAAGAAAAAAUUAUUUUUAAAUUUAAAA